rnacentral:rRNA from 1 species
UACGGAGGGGGCUAGCGUUGUUCGGAAUUACUGGGCGUAAAGCGCACGUAGGCGGCUUUUUAAGUCAGAGGUGAAAGCCCGGGGCUCAACUCCGGAAUUGCCUUUGAGACUGGGAGGCUUGAUCGUCGGAGAGGUGGAGUGGAAUUCCGAGUGUAGAGGUGAAAUUCGUAGAUAUUCGGAAGAACACCAGUGGCGAAGGCGGCUCACUGGACGACUGAUGACGCUGAGGUGCGAAAGCGUGGGGAGCAAACAGG